rnacentral:rRNA from 1 species
UGGGGAAUAUUGGACAAUGGGCGCAAGCCUGAUCCAGCAAUGCCGCGUGUGUGAAGAAGGCCUUCGGGUUGUAAAGCACUUUUAUCAGGAGCGAAACGCUGUCGGCUAAUACCCGGCGGAACUGGCGGUACCUGAGGAAUAAGCACCGGCUAACUUCGUGCCAGCAGCCGCGGUAAUACGAAGGGUGCAAGCGUUAAUCGGAAUUACUGGGCGUAAAGCGUGCGUAGGCGGUUUCUUAAGUCUGCUGUGAAAUCCCCGGGCUCAACCUGGGAAUGGCAGUGGAUACUGGGAGGCUAGAGUGUGUCAGAGGGUGGUGGAAUUCCCGGUGUAGCGGUGAAAUGCGUAGAGAUCGGGAGGAACAUCAGUGGCGAAGGCGGCCACCUGGGACAACACUGACGCUGAGGCACGAAAGCGUGGGGAGCAAACAGGAUUAGAUACCCUGGUAGUCCACGCCCUAAACGAUGCGAACUGGAUGUUGGUCUCAACUCGGAGAUCAGUGUCGAAGCUAACGCGUUAAGUUCGCCGCCUGGGGAGUACGGUCGCAAGACUGAAACUC